GAUGAACGCUGGCGGCGUGCCUAAUACAUGCAAGUCGAGCGAACGGACGAGAAGCUUGCUUUUCUGAUGUUAGCGGCGGACGGGUGAGUAACAAGUGGAUAACCUACCUAUAAGACUGGGAUAACUUCGGGAAACCGGAGCUAAUACCGGAUAAUAUUUUGAACCGCAUGGUUCAAAAGUGAAAGACGGUCUUGCUGUCACUGAUAGAUGGAUCCGCGCUGCAUUAGCUAGUUGGUAAGGUAACGGCUUACCAAGGCAACGAUGCAUAGCCGACCUGAGAGGGUGAUCGGCCACCCUGGAACUGAGACACGGUCCAGACGCCUACGGGAGGCAGCAGUAGGGAAUCUUCCGCAAUGGGCGAAAGCCUGACGGAGCAACGCCGCGUGAGUGAUGAAGGUCUUCGGAUCGUAAAACUCUGUUAUUAGGGAAGAACAUAUGUGUAAGUAACUGUGCACAUCUUGACGGUACCUAAUCAGAAAGCCACGGCUAACUACGUG
rnacentral:rRNA from 1 species